AUCAUUACUGACACUGAGGAGCGAAAGCAUGGGUAGCGAAGAGGAUUAGAUACCCUCGUAGUCCAUGCUGUAAACGAUGUGUGCUAGACGUUGGAAAUUUAUUUUCAGUGUCGCAGCAAAAGCGUUAAGCACACCGCCUGGGGAGUACGACCGCAAGGUUAAAACUCAAAUGAAUUGACGGGGACCCGCACAAGUAGUGGAGCAUGUGGUUUAAUUCGAAGAUACGCGCAGAACCUUACCAACACUUGACAUGUUUGUCGCGACUCUAAGAGAUUAGAGUCUUCGGUUCGGCCGGACAAAACACAGGUGCUGCAUGGCUGUCGUCAGCUCGUGUCGUGAGAUGUUGGGUUAAGUCCCGCAACGAGCGCAACCCUUACUUUUAGUUGCUACCAUUUAGUUGGGCACUCUAAAAGAACUGCCAGUGAUAAGCUGGAGGAAGGCGGGGAUGACGUCAAGUCCUCAUGGCCCUUACGUGUUGGGCUACACACGUGCUACAAUGGUACUUACAGUGAGAUGCGAAGAGGCGACUCUAAGCUAAUCCCAAAAAGGUACCUCAGUUCGGAUUGUACUCUGCAACUCGAGUACAUGAAGCUGGAAUUACUAGUAAUCGCGGAUCAGCGCGCCGCGGUGAAUACGUUCCCGGGUCUUGUACACACCGCCCGUCACACCAUGGAAGUUGGUUACACCUUAAGGCAAAGCGUAAAACCUUUGACUACGGUACGAUCAGCGACUGGGGUGAAGUCGUAACAAGGUAGCCGUAGGGGAACCUGCGGCUG
rnacentral:rRNA from 1 species